UGCGUAGACGGUUACGUAAGUCAGAUGUGAAAGCCCCGGGCUCAACCUGGGAAUUGCAUUUGAGACUGCGUAGCUAGGGUGCGGAAGAGGGAAGCGGAAUUUCCGGUGUAGCGGUGAAAUGCGUAGAUAUCGGAAGGAACACCAGUGGCGAAAGCGGCUUCCUGGUCCAGCACCGACGUUCAGGCACGAAAGCGUGGGGAGCAAACA
rnacentral:rRNA from 1 species